CAUACCUAUACGUUGCCUCGGCGGAUCAGCCCGCGCCCCGUAAAACGGGACGGCCCGCCCGAGGACCCCUAAACUCUGUUUUUAGUGGAACUUCUGAGUAAAACAAACAAAUAAAUCAAAACUUUCAACAACGGAUCUCUUGGUUCUGGCAUCGAUGAAGAACGCAGCAAAAUGCGAUAAGUAAUGUGAAUUGCAGAAUUCAGUGAAUCAUCGAAUCUUUGAACGCACAUUGCGCCCGCCAGUAUUCUGGCGGGCAUGCCUGUUCGAGCGUCAUUUCAACCCUCAAGCUCAGCUUGGUGUUGGGACUCGCGGUAACCCGCGUUCCCCAAAUCGAUUGGCGGUCACGUCGAGCUUCCAUAGCGUAGUAAUCAUACACCUCGUUACUGGUAAUCGUCGCGGCCACGCCGUAAAACCCCAACUUCUGAAUGUUGACCUCGGAUCAGGUAGGAAUACCCGCUGAACUUAAGCAUAUCAAUAAGCGGAGGAA
rnacentral:rRNA from 1 species